rnacentral:rRNA from 1 species
UACGAAGGGGGCGAGCGUUGGUCGGAUUUACUGGGCGUAAAGGGCGCGCAGGCGGCGGAUCAAGUCAGACGUGAAAGCCCCGGGCUUAACCUGGGAACUGCGUUUGGGACUGGUUUGCUAGAGAUCGGGAGAGGAGAGUGGAAUUCCCAGUGUAGAGGUGAAAUUCGUAGAUAUUGGGAAGAACACCGGUGGCGAAGGCGGCUCUCUGGACCGAUACUGACGCUGAGGCGCGAAAGCGUGGGGAGCAAACAGG